AGCUCAAAUGCAACCCAUAUGAUGGAGGUCUGUACGGAUUAAUCACAGAUUUGUUUUAGCUUGACACUUGGACUGCUUUGCACAACAGAAUGCAUUUUUCCGUUCCUGAUACGAUUGAGCGUAAAGACAAGAAUGGAUCAAAUUAUUUGGCUUACAGUGUACACAUCAACGGGUCAUUUCACUGUGGUAUUAGAUUUUCAGAUCUUUACCAAUUCAAUGAACAAUUGCGCAAAGAGUUUGGACCCAGAAUUGUAGCAAAGUUCCCUCCAAGGAAGCUUUUGUCUUUGACACCAGCACAAGUUGAAGAAAGACGAAUUCAGCUGGAGAGAUAUUUACAAUCAGUCUGUCAAGAUCCUGGUGUUGCUUCUAGCUCUUUGUUCAUCAGUUUUUUCCUUAAUGCUCAAAAGGAAUCUUUAUCUGCCUCCCCUGAGAAUGUUCAACUUGAUGUUUAUUUAAUGAAUGGACAAAAAGUUCCACUGAAGAUACAGUCCACUGACAGAACAGGUGAUGUAUUAGAGUCUUUGAUGGCAGAGAUUAAUCUCAAUGAAGACCUUGUGUACUAUUUUGGGCUUUUUCUAAUUAAAAGAGCGGAUGAUGGAGAGGCAACAAUUGUAAGAAGAUUUCAGGACUUUGAAGCUCCCUUUCUGACAAUUAAAUCAGAAACUGGAACUUGCAGAGUGGCUGUAAGAAAAACGUUAUGGGAUCCAAAGAUAGAGGACAAAAUCGUCCAGGAUAGAAUAGGAAUGAACUUGUUGUAUGUUCAGGCUGUCAGUGAUUUGGAUAGAGGCUGGACAGUUGGUCCUAAGGAAGCUCACUCAAAACUUGCAGAUCUCAAACAGAAAGGUGCCAAAGGAGAGUUUUUGCAGUUUGCCAGGUCACUAAGAUUCUAUGGCUACCUGCAGUUUAAACCCUGCACUACAAACUAUCCUGAAGAUGACACGAGGGUCAUCAUUAGUGUUGGAAACAGAGAACUAAACUUUAGACUUCAAACUCCUGGUAAUAAGAUUCAAGAAGGGAGCUUUAAGGUGACGAGAAUAAGAUGCUGGAGGAUAACGUCGUCAUGUGAAAAGAAUGAAAAUGGAGAUACGCAAGAGCAUCAGGAACUCGCAUUUGAAUACCUCAUCAAAAAAGAUGAAAUGGAGUGGAUCACAAUUUACAGUGAUGAGGCAAUUCUUAUGAGCCUUUGUCUACAAAGUAUUGUGGAUGAGAUACUUAGAAUGAAACAGGGAAGACCUGUGAAAAAGCCCAAAGAUCGUGCUAAACUCCAAAAGGAAGCUUCCCCCAACUUUGAGCGACAAAACUCUGUAACAUCAGAUGGAUCUACAGAGGGAGAUGGAGAACAAGAAAAUAAGGCUUUGAACAACUCUUUGCCUCCAUGGACAAGUCCAAAAACUCCACAGAAACAAAGUGCACCAGGCAAGAAAACAUCAAAACAGUCAUCGAACAAAGGUCAAUCACCAAAACCAGUAACUCUUCCAACGAAUAAUGCUGCCAUGACAACAAACAAAGUUUUUGAGGGAAUUGGAGAUGAUGAUCUCUGAACUCUGAUUGCUUCGAAGGUCAUGUGGCUGUGGUUAUCACUUGCGUCAUAGUUGAUAAAUUUUGGCUUUUGUAUUUAAUACCAUUGGUAAUUCAUUUCAGUGGUAAUGUGUUGUAAAAAUUUAAUUUUGGCAGUUGCAAAUUGAAAAAAAAUUGACACCAAAAUUUAUAAUUUGAUUCUUCGUCAUGCAGUAUGUAGGUGCAACCAGUGAUGCUGAAAUUUGGUGUGAGGAAAGGCAGUGAGUAUGCAUCAGAUUCUAAUCAUCGAUGUGGGUUCCAGAAUCUGUAAUCAUUGAUGUUAUAUUCAUUUAUCUCUUAAAUUUCGGUUUAGAAACUUACAUUGCUGAAAAUUUGGAUGGAUGCACCAAAAUUUUUUCAGAUUAUGUUGCUUGACAAUCAAAGGCAAAAGAAGCACAAUUUAGUUUUCUUUUAACUUGAAUUGAGUAGCUUUGUGUUUGGUGUGGCUAUGGUACCUUGGACUCCUUGAUGUUUUGACUGCAAAGAGUGCGGUGUUGAUCAAGAUUACCAAUUAAAGAACAGUUCACUUGAAAUGCAAUUUUAAGGAGUUUAUAUUAAAAGUGCAAGACAUGUAAUUGUCUAUUUUUAUACAUGACAAUUUUAAAUGUUUUCCAUGAUUAGUUGUAACCUUCUCAAGUAAGGGAAAAAAUUAAAAAAUUAUUAUGCUAA
rnacentral:misc_RNA from 1 species